GAGGGAAAUAGAGCGGCAGUGACAGCAAUAAAUUUUAUUUUUAUUUUUUAAUUUUUAUUUAAAAAAGAAUAUAAAAAAAAAUAUUAUAGAUCUCGAUGUAUGGCUAAAUCUCUUCAAUCUGAAAAGAUGAUAAAAUCUAUAAAUAAAUUUUUAUUUUUAUAUUUAAUUUUUAUAUAAUAAAAUUAUAUUUUUAUUUUAUAUCUUUUUAUUUUUUUGAAAUAUUAAUUUAGCUUGCACGAUCUAUGUCCUCUACAGACGUGUCGUGA
rnacentral:lncRNA from 1 species